rnacentral:rRNA from 1 species
UACGUAGGGGGCAAGCGUUAUCCGGAUUUACUGGGUGUAAAGGGAGCGUAGACGGCAGCGCAAGUCUGGAGUGAAAUGCCGGGGCCCAACCCCGGAACUGCUUUGGAAACUGUGCGGCUCGAGUGCAGAAGAGGACAGUGGAACUCCAUGUGUAGCGGUGGAAUGCGUAGAUAUAUGGAAGAACACCAGUGGCGAAGGCGGCUGUCUGGUCUGCAACUGACGCUGAGGCUCGAAAGCAUGGGUAGCGAACAGG